GUGCCAGCAGCCGCGGUAAUACCGGCAGCCCGAGUGAUGGCCGAUCUUAUUGGGCCUAAAGCGUCCGUAGCUGGCCGCGCAAGUCCAUCGGAAAAUCCACCCGCCCAACGGGUGGGCGUCCGGCGGAAACUGCUCGGCUUGGGACCGGAGGACCCGAGGGGUACGUCCGGGGUAGGAGUGAAAUCCCGUAAUCCCGGACGGACCGCCGGUGGCGAAAGCGCCUCGGGAGGACGGAUCCGACGGUGAGGGACGAAAGCUAGGGUCUCGAACCGGAUUAGAAACCCUUGUAGUCC
rnacentral:rRNA from 1 species